rnacentral:rRNA from 1 species
AUUGAACGCUGGCGGCAUGCCUUACACAUGCAAGUCGAACGGCAGUAGGGACUUCGGUCCGCCGGCGAGUGGCGAACGGGUGAGUAAUGUAUCGGAACGUACCAUUCAGUGGGGGAUAACUAUCCGAAAGGAUAGCUAAUACCGCAUAUUCUGUGAGCAGGAAAGCAGGGGAUCGCAAGACCUUGCGCUGAUUGAGCGGCCGAUAUCAGAUUAGCUAGUUGGUGAGGUAACGGCUCACCAAGGCUACGAUCUGUAGCGGGUCUGAGAGGAUGAUCCGCCACACUGGGACUGAGACACGGCCCAGACUCCUACGGGAGGCAGCAGUGGGGAAUUUUGGACAAUGGGCGCAAGCCUGAUCCAGCCAUGCCGCGUGAGUGAAGAAGGCCUUCGGGUUGUAAAGCUCUUUCGGCCGGGAAGAAAUCGCAUCAGCUAAUACCUGGUGUGGAUGACGGUACCGGAAUAAGAAGCACCGGCUUACUACGUGCCAGCCGCCGCAGUAAGAC